GGAAAGAUCUCCAAUGUUGGUAUUUGGAGUUGAGCUGUAGUCUCAAUGAUUAACUUCUUCGUAGGUUCAAUUCCUACUCUUUUCA
rfam:Yarrowia lipolytica complete mitochondrial genome, strain W29